UACGGAGGGUGCAAGCAUUAAUCGGAUUUAUUGGGCGUAAAGGGCGCGUAGGCGGAUUGUUAAGUUGGGUGUGAAAUUCCGAGGCUCAACCUCGGAGCUGCACUCAAAACUGGCGAUCUAGAGGAAUGGCGGAGAAAACGGAAUUCCACGUGUAGCGGUGAAAUGCGUAGAUAUGUGGAGGAACACCUGUGGCGAAAGCGGUUUUCUAGCUUAAUCCUGACGCUGAGGCGCGAGAGCAAGGGGAGCAAACAGG
rnacentral:rRNA from 1 species